rnacentral:rRNA from 1 species
AGGGUUUGAUCAUGGCUCAGAUUGAACGCUGGUGGUAUGCUUAACACAUGCAAGUCGAACGGUAACAUUGGAGCUUGCUCCAGAUGACGAGUGGCGGACGGGUGAGUAACGCGUAGGAAUCUGCCUAGUAGUGGGGGACAACAUGUGGAAACGCAUGCUAAUACCGCAUACGCCCUACGGGGGAAAGCGGGGGAUCUUCGGACCUCGCGCUAUUAGAUGAGCCUGCGUUAGAUUAGCUUGUUGGUGGGGUAAUGGCCUACCGAGGCGACGAUCUAUAGCUGGUCUGAGAGGACGAUCAGCCACACUGGGACUGAGACACGGCCCAGACUCCUACGGGAGGCAGCAGUGGGGAAUAUUGGACAAUGGGCGCAAGCCUGAUCCAGCAAUACCACGUGUGUGAAGAAGGCCUGAGGGUUGUAAAGCACUUUCAAUUGGGAGGAAAACAGCUGGGUUAAUAGCCCUGCUCUUGACAUUACCUUUAGAAGAAGCACCGGCUAACUCCGUGCCAGCAGCCGCGGUAAUACGGAGGGUGCGAGCGUUAAUCGGAAUUACUGGGCGUAAAGCGUACGUAGGCGGUUAUUUAAGUCAGAUGUGAAAGCCCCGGGCUCAACCUGGGAACUGCAUUUGAAACUGGAUAACUAGAGUUUGAUA